rnacentral:rRNA from 1 species
GGACGAACGCUGGCGGCGUGCCUAAUACAUGCAAGUUGAGCGCUGAAGGUUGGUACUUGUACCGACUGGAUGAGCAGCGAACGGGUGAGUAACGCGUGGGGAAUCUGCCUUUGAGCGGGGGACAACAUUUGGAAACGAAUGCUAAUACCGCAUAAAAACUUUAAACACAAGUUUUAAGUUUGAAAGAUGCAAUUGCAUCACUCAAAGAUGAUCCCGCGUUGUAUUAGCUAGUUGGUGAGGUAAAGGCUCACCAAGGCGAUGAUACAUAGCCGACCUGAGAGGGUGAUCGGCCACAUUGGGACUGAGACACGGCCCAAACUCCUACGGGAGGCAGCAGUAGGGAAUCUUCGGCAAUGGACGAAAGUCUGACCGAGCAACGCCGCGUGAGUGAAGAAGGUUUUCGGAUCGUAAAACUCUGUUGGUAGAGAAGAACGUUGGUGAGAGUGGAAAGCUCAUCAAGUGACGGUAACUACCCAGAAAGGGACGGCUAACUACGUGCCAGCAGCCGCGGUAAUACGUAGGUCCCGAGCGUUGUCCGGAUUUAUUGGGCGUAAAGCGAGCGCAGGUGGUUUAUUAAGUCUGGUGUAAAAGGCAGUGGCUCAACCAUUGUAUGCAUUGGAAACUGGUAGACUUGAGUGCAGGAGAGGAGAGUGGAAUUCCAUG